GGCUCGUUGGUCUAGGGGUAUGAUUCUCGCAUGAUUCUCGCUCCAGGGUGCGAGAGAGGUCCCGGUUCAAAUCCCGGACGAGCCC
rnacentral:tRNA from 1 species